rnacentral:rRNA from 1 species
AGUGAACGCUGGCGGUAGGCCUAACACAUGCAAGUCGAACGGCAGCACAGUAAGAGCUUGCUCUUACGGGUGGCGAGUGGCGGACGGGUGAGGAAUACAUCGGAAUCUACUUUUUCGUGGGGGAUAACGUAGGGAAACUUACGCUAAUACCGCAUACGACCUACGGGUGAAAGCAGGGGAUCUUCGGACCUUGCGCGAUUGAAUGAGCCGAUGUCGGAUUAGCUAGUUGGCGGGGUAAAGGCCCACCAAGGCGACGAUCCGUAGCUGGUCUGAGAGGAUGAUCAGCCACACUGGAACUGAGACACGGUCCAGACUCCUAAGGGAGGCAGCAGUGGGGAAUAUUGGACAAAGGGCGCAAGCAUGAUCCAGCCAUACCGCGUGGGUGAAGAAGGCCUUCGGGUUGUAAAGCCCUUUUGUUGGGAAAGAAAAGCAGCAGGUUAAUACCCCGCUGUUCUGACGGUACCCAAAGAAUAAGCACCGGCUAACUUCGUG